rnacentral:rRNA from 1 species
CAGCAGCCGCGGGAACACAGAGGGUGCGAGCGUUAAUCGGAUUUACUGGGCGUAAAGCGUGCGUAGGCGGCUAAUUGAGUCGGAUGUGAAAUCCCCGAGCUUAACUUGGGAAUUGCAUUCGAUACUGGUUAGCUAGAGUGUGGGAGAGGAUGGUAGAAUUCCAGGUGUAGCGGUGAAAUGCGUAGAGAUCUGGAGGAAUACCGAUGGCGAAGGCAGCCAUCUGGCCUAACACUGACGCUGAGGUACGAAAGCAUGGGGAGCAAACAGGAUUAGAUACCCCAGUAGUCCCUGUCUCUUAUAC